rnacentral:rRNA from 1 species
GAUGAACGCUGGCGGCGUGCCUAACACAUGCAAGUCGAGCGAACAGACGAGGAGUUUGCUCCUCACUCGAUUGCGGCGGGCGGGUGAGUAACACGUGGAUACCCUAUCUAUAAGACUGGGAUAACUUCGGGAAACCGGAGCUAAUCCCGGAUAAAAUGCUUAACGGCAUGGUUCAACAGUGAAAUAUGGUCUUGAUGUCACCUCUCGGUCGAUCAGCGUCUCAUUAGGUUGUUGGUAAGGUAACGGGUUACCGAGGGACCGGUGCGUAGCCGUGCGUAGAGGGUGAUCGGCCACACGGGAGCGGAGAGACGCACCAGGACCCGAAGAGAGGCAGCAGUAGGGAGUGUGGCGCAAGGGGCGAAAGCCUGACGAAGCGACGCCGCGUGAGGGAGGGAGGUCUUCGGGGCGUAAAACGCUGUUAUGAUGGAAGAACAAAUGUGUAAGUAACUAUGCACGUCUGAAGGGUACCGAAGCAGAAGGCCACGGCUAACUAGUG